CACGUAGGGGGCGAGCGUUGUCCGGAAUCAUUGGGCGUAAAGAGCUCGUAGGCGGCUCAGUAAGUCGGGUGUGAAACCCCCAGGCUCAACCUGGGGACGCCACCCGAUACUGCUGUGGCUAGAGUCCAGUAGGGGAGUGUGGAAUUCCCGGUGUAGCGGUGAAAUGCGCAGAUAUCGGGAGGAACACCAGCGGCGAAGGCGGCACUCUGGGCUGGAACUGACGCUGAGGAGCGAAAGCGUGGGUAGCAAAUAGG
rnacentral:rRNA from 1 species